rfam:Gossypium hirsutum cultivar TM-1 chromosome 24, whole genome shotgun sequence
GUAAAGUAGUGCAGCCAAGGAUGAUUUGCCGGCUAGGCUUUCUCUUCCACUUAUCUGAGUUGUUUUUUGAUACUUGUUAAUUACUCAAAACUAUUUAUGUUAAUGGUUUGAACUGUUCAUGGGAACGGGAAGUUAAUUAUUUAAUACAUAAAUGAAUCAAACCUUUGUUGGAGGAGAUAAUCGGCAAGUUGUCUUUGGCUACGUUUCUUUCUCU